GAUAACCUGCCCUAAGGUGGGGCAUAACCCCGGGAAACUGGGGAUAAUACCCCAUAGGUUAGAGAUGCUGGAAUGCCCUUUAACCCAAAGCUCCGGCGCCUUAGGAUGGAUCUGCGGCCGAUUAGGUAGUUGUUGGGGUAACGGCCCAACAAGCCCGUAAUCGGUACGGGUUGUGGGAGCAAGAGCCCGGAGAUGGACUCUGAGACACGAGUCCAGGCCCUACGGGGCGCAGCAGGCGCGAAAACUUUACAAUGCAGGAAACUGUGAUAAGGGAACCCCGAGUGCCCGUAUACGCGGGCUGUCCAGGUGUGUAAAAAGCAUCUGAAGAAAGGGCCGGGCAAGACCGGUGCCAGCCGCCGCGGUAAUACCGGCGGCUCGAGUGGUGGCCACUUUUAUUGGGCUUAAAGCGUUCGUAGCUUGGUUGUUAAGUCUCUUGGGAAAUCUCACGGCUUAACCGUGAGGCGUCUAAGGGAUACUGGCAACCUAGGGACCGGAAGAGGUGAGAGGUACUCCAGGGGUAGGAGUGAAAUCCUGUAAUCCUUGG
rnacentral:rRNA from 1 species